GCCAGCAAGGUGAGUGUCUCAGUAGUGAGUUAAGCACUGGAACCUAGAAGCACAGCCAGGAAGGUGAGUGUCUCAGUGGUGAGUCAAGCACUGGAACCUAGAAGCACAGCCAGGAAGGUGUCUCAGUGGUGGGUCAAGAACAGGAACCUAGAAGCACAGCCAGGAAGGUGGACUGUGGCACGCGACCUGUUCCAUAAGAAAGGUUUCCAUCGUCCUCCUCCACACUCCAGCAGACUAAACCUUCACUCUCUAACAACCUUCACUACUGAUACCAGCUUUCAUUUCUCAGUACAUAUUUAGCAUAAUUUAUUUGCUUUGGUAAAUGAUUAUAUUAAACUAUGUUGGUUUAUGAGUUAGGAACAGCUCUCAGUUAUGUGAAGAGUGAUCGUGUUUUACAAAAACCUUUAUUUUCACUCUGUAUGAUAAUAAAGUUUCCCCCUGACAA